GACAGAGGUGCCGAGCGUUAGGCGGAAUCACUGGGCGUAAAGCGUGCGCAGGCGGUGAUGUAAGACAGGUGUGAAAUCCCCGGGCUUAACCUGGGAACUGCAUUUGUGACUGCAUCGCUGGAGUGUGGCAGAGGGGGGGAUGGAAUUCCGCGUGUAGCAGUGAAAUGCGUAGAUAUGCGGAGGAACACCGAUGGCGAAGGGCAAUCCCCUGGGCCUGCACUGACGCUCAUGCACGAAAGCGUGGGGAGCAAACAGG
rnacentral:rRNA from 1 species